rnacentral:rRNA from 1 species
GAGAUGGAUUGGUGCCUUCGGGAACUGUGAGACAGGUGCUGCAUGGCUGUCGUCAGCUCGUGUUGUGAAAUGUUGGGUUAAGUCCCGCAACGAGCGCAACCCUUAUCCUUUGUUGCCAGCGGUUAGGCCGGGAACUCAAAGGAGACUGCCAGUGAUAAACUGGAGGAAGGUGGGGAUGACGUCAAGUCAUCAUGGCCCUUACGACCAGGGCUACACACGUGCUACAAUGGCAUAUACAAAGAGAAGCGACCUCGCGAGAGCAAGCGGACCUCAUAAAGUAUGUCGUAGUCCGGAUUGGAGUCUGCAACUCGACUCCAUGAAGUCGGAAUCGCUAGUAAUCGUAGAUCAGAAUGCUACGGUGAAUACGUUCCCGGGCCUUGUACACACCGCCCGUCACACCAUGGGAGUGGGUUGCAAAAGAAGUAGGUAGCUUAACCUUCGGGAGGGCGCUUACCACUUUGUGAUUCAUGACUGGGGUGAAGUCGUAACAAGGUAACCGUAGGGGAACCUGCGGUUGGAUCACCUCCUUACCUUAAAGAA